UGUAUUGAGUAACAAACCUUGACAUUAACUAGUUUAGAAAGAUAUGUAUUGAACAUCAAAAUUAAUUAAAUAUAUACUUAUAUCCUAAAGAACAUAAAAUGUCAUCUUCUAUAUUCUGAUAAUUAAACGAUUAACAUAAGUUAUAUAGCUUAAAAUAUAUGCUAAAAUACUAAAUAUAAGUAGAAAAUGAAAAAGAAAAAAAUAAAAAAGAAUAAUUACAAGAAAAUGAAAAAGAAAAAAAGAAAAUAGAAUAAUUACAAGACAAUGCAAAUGAGACCGUAUGUAUUAAAGAAAACCAACCCAAUCAUUUUUCUAGUCUUACAUUAGCACCAACUUUAUUAUUGUGAGAUCCUCAUAAUCCUAACAAACAUCUCAAUCUCAUCAAAAAAAUACGAAAAACCCUAUCAUAAUCAUUGGUGAUGCAAGAAUAAAAUUGAAAAUAAGAGGAAACACAAAUGAAUAGAGUGACAAAAUAAACAAGUUAGAGAUGUGUAACCUUCAAAAGAUUAAAUAUUGUAAGCUAAAUAAUUAUAUUAAGUAAAUCCUCAAUUAUAUAAAUCAAUCAAACAUUUAUUGAGUAACAAACCUUGACAUUAACUAGUUUAGAAAGAUAUGUAUUGAACAUCAAAAUUAAUUAAAUAUAUACUUAAAUAUUAAGUAAAUCCUCAAUUAUAUAAAUCAAUCAAACAUUUAUUGAGUAACAAACCUUGACAUUAACUAGUUUAGAAAGAUAUGUAUUGAACAUCAAAAUUAAUUAAAUAUAUACUUAUAUCCUAAUGAACAUAAAAUGUCAUCUUCUAUAUUCUGAUAAUUAAACGAUUAACAUAAGUUAUAUAUCUUAAAAUAUAUGCUAAAAUACUAAAUAUAAGUAGAAAAUGAAAAAGAAAAGAAGAAAAAAGAACAAUUACAAGAAAAUGAAAAAGAAAAAAAGAAAAUAGAAUAAUAACAAGACAAUGCAAAUGAGACCGUAUGUAUUAAAGGAAACAAACCCAAUCAUUUUUCUAGUGCUACAUUAGCACCAACAUUAUUAUUGUGAGAUCCUCAUAAUCCUAACAAACAUCUCAAUCUCAUCAAAACAAUACGAAAAACCCUAUCAUAAUCAUUGGUGAUGCAAGAAUAAAAUUGAAAAUAAGAGGAAACACAGAUGAAUAGAGUGACAAAAUAAACAAGUUAGAGAUGUGUAACCUUCAAAAGAUUAACCUAUAUCAGAAAUCAAUUGUUCCGUACAUUUGAUAGAUAAGAAAGAAAAUUACUCAUAAAAGAUAGAAAAAAAAGGAAAAUAUGACAAUUUUUCAGCAGUACGUAUUUUUUUACCCUUUGUAUUUUGUUUAUACAAUCAUAAAGUGAUUAUGAACCAGAGAUUUCUAUUAAAUAAUGUAAGGUAAAUAUUUAUAUUAAGUACAUCCUCAAUUAUAUAAAUCAAUCAAACAUGUAAUGAGUAACAAACCUUGACAUUAAUUAGUUUAGAAAGAUAUGUAUUGAACAUCAAAAUUAAUUAAAUAUAUACUUAUAUCCUAAAGAACAUAAAAUGUCAUCUUCUAUAUUCUGAUAAUUAAACGAUUAACAUAAGUUAUAUAGAUUAAAAAAUAUGCUAAAAUACUAAUUAUAAGUAGAAAAUGAAAAAGAAAAAAAGAAAAAAGAAUAAUUACAAGAAAAUGAAAAAGAAAAAAAGAAAAUAGAAUAAUUACAAGACAAUGAAAAUGAGACCGUAUGUAUUAAAGGAAACCAACCCAAUCAUUUUUCUAGUGUUACAUUAGCACCAACUUUAUUAUUGUGAGAUCCUCAUAAUCCUAACAAACAUCUCAAUCUCAUCAAAACAAUACGAAAAACCCUAUCAUAAUCAUUGGUGAUGCAAGAAUAAAAUUGAAAAUAAGAGGAAACACAGAUGAAUAGAGUGACAAAAUAAACAAGUUAGAGAUGUGUAACCUUCAAAAGAUUAACCUAUAUCAGAAAUCAAUUGUUCCGUACAUUUGAUAGAUAAGAAAGAAAAUUACUCAUAAAAGAUAGAAAAAAAAGGAAAAUAUGACAAUUUUUCAGCAGUACGUAUUUUUUUACCCUUUGUAUUUUGUUUAUACAAUCAUAAAGUGAUUAUGAACCAGAGAUUUCUAUUAAAUAUUGUAAGCGAAAUAAUUAUAUUAAGUAAAUCCUCAAUUAUAUAAAUCAAUCAAACAUUUAUUGAGUAACAAACCUUGACAUUAAUUAGUUUAGAAAGAUAUGUAUUGAACAUCAAAAUUAAUUAAAUAUAUACUUAUAUCCUAAAGAACAUAAAAUGUCAUCUUCUAUAUUCUGAUAAUUAAACGAUUAACAUAAGUUAUAUAGAUUAAAAAAUAUGCUAAAAUACUAAUUAUAAGUAGAAAAUGAAAAAGAAAAAAAGAAAAAAGAAUAAUUACAAGAAAAUGAAAAAGAAAAAAAGAAAAUAGAAUAAUUACAAGACAAUGAAAAUGAGACCGUAUGUAUUAAAGGAAACCAACCCAAUCAUUUUUCUAGUGUUACAUUAGCACCAACUUUAUUAUUGUGAGAUCCUCAUAAUCCUAACAAACAUCUCAAUCUCAUCAAAACAAUACGAAAAACCCUAUCAUAAUCAUUGGUGAUGCAAGAAUAAAAUUGAAAAUAAGAGGAAACACAGAUGAAUAGAGUGACAAAAUAAACAAGUUAGAGAUGUGUAACCUUCAAAAGAUUAACCUAUAUCAGAAAUCAAUUGUUCCGUACAUUUGAUAGAUAAGAAAGAAAAUUACUCAUAAAAGAUAGAAAAAAAAGGAAAAUAUGACAAUUUUUCAGCAGUACGUAUUUUUUUACCCUUUGUAUUUUGUUUAUACAAUCAUAAAGUGAUUAUGAACCAGAGAUUUCUAUUAAAUAUUGUAAGCGAAAUAAUUAUAUUAAGUAAAUCCUCAAUUAUAUAAAUCAAUCAAACAUUUAUUGAGUAACAAACCUUGACAUUAAUUAGUUUAGAAAGAUAUGUAUUGAACAUCAAAAUUAAUUAAAUAUAUACUUAUAUCCUAAAGAACAUAAAAUGUCAUCUUCUAUAUUCUGAUAAUUAAACGAUUAACAUAAGUUAUAUAGAUUAAAAAAUAUGCUAAAAUACUAAUUAUAAGUAGAAAAUGAAAAAGAAAAAAAGAAAAAAGAAUAAUUACAAGAAAAUGAAAAAGAAAAAAAGAAAAUAGAAUAAUUACAAGACAAUGAAAAUGAGACCGUAUGUAUUAAAGGAAACCAACCCAAUCAUUUUUCUAGUGUUACAUUAGCACCAACUUUAUUAUUGUGAGAUCCUCAUAAUCCUAACAAACAUCUCAAUCUCAUCAAAACAAUACGAAAAACCCUAUCAUAAUCAUUGGUGAUGCAAGAAUAAAAUUGAAAAUAAGAGGAAACACAGAUGAAUAGAGUGACAAAAUAAACAAGUUAGAGAUGUGUAACCUUCAAAAGACUAACCUAUAUCAGAAAUCAAUUGUUCCGUACAUUUGAUAGAUAAGAAAGAAAAUUACUCAUAAAAGAUAGAAAAAAAAGGAAAAAAUGACAAUUUUUCAGCAGUACAUAUUUUUUUACCCUUUGUAUUUUGUUUAUACAAUCAUAGAGUGAUUAUGAACCAGUGAUUUCUAUUAAAUAUUGUAAGCUAAAUGAUUAUAUUAAGUAAAUCCUCAAUUAUAUAAAUCAAUCAAACAUUUAUUGAGUAACAAACCUUGACAUUAACUAGUUUAUAAAGAUAUGUAUUGAACAUAAAAAUUAAUUAAAUAUAUACUUAUAUCCUAAAGAACAUAAAAUGUCAUCUAAUAUAUUCUGAUAAUUAAACAAUUAACAUAAGUUAUAUAGCUUAAAAUAUAUGCUAAAAUAUUAAAUAUAAGUAGAAAAUGAAAAAGAAAAAAAUAAAAAAGAAUAAUUACAAGAAAAUGAAAAAGAAAAAAAGAAAAUAGAAUAUUU
rnacentral:lncRNA from 1 species